GACUUAAGUAAAGGGCUCAUGUUCUGAGGAGCAACGCCCAUUCAUGCAGUGUUUUCUGCUUGGUUAUGUUUGCUGAUGUUACUGAGUGGAGGAAAUACUGUGUGGGAGGCAGUUUCAUGAAUACUGAUGUUCAAUAUUGUGACAGAGCACAGGUACGCUGAGAGUGAACUGUCAGUUGAAGGAGAUGUGGGGAAAGUUUGUAUUUAUGAAUUAAUAUGGGAAAAGAAGAAUGGUAUUUCCUGGGCAGGGGGUUGCUAUGAGGAACAUGCACUGAAAUAAGGAAAAUCCACAAACAACAAAAUCAUAUAAACUAAUAGGCUGUCAGCCUCAGAAUGACGUUUUCAAAGAAGUUAAACUUGAAGUGAAGGAGGAAGGAUAAGAGUCUUGCAGGGUAUAGGUCUAAAAUUUUAAAUUUUAAGUUAUUUUAAACUUGUAAGUGGUAAUGUAAAAAAAAGCCUAUAAAUGGCCUGGAAUGAGUACAGUAUGCAACUGGCUGGUCUAUGUGAUGAGAGAUCUCAUGACUUACCAUUAUCCUGCGUAAUUUCCUUCCUUCUACUUCUUUUUAUGUUCUACUUUUUGGCUUUUACCUUUCUUAAGGAUCACUUUCUGCAAAUCAGUUAACAUGUACUUAAAUUUAGUCUCAAUGGCUUCAGGCGGACUAUUCACACCAGUAACUGAGAGUGCCAAACCCAUGAGGCACAGCUUUCAAAAAGUUAGCGUUGUUCAGCAUGGUAUUUAUAAUUAAUGCCUUUGGAUAUAUUUUCUAUUUGUCAUUUUUACUCUCCAGGGUCAUGGUUCCAAAACUAUUUUGAUAUCACGAGGGCUGCAGUCUUACAUUUUUAAAUGAAAUAUGAGGUUGUCAUGUGGUCACAGAACUACAAGAACUAGACACUGCAGUACAUUUGCAUAUGCAGAAAGCCCCUGGAAGAGAAUCCACAUCUCCCGAUUCCCAGGUCAUUGCUCUUUCUUCACAAGAUCCCUUUAAAACCUGCUGCUGUUUGCUCUGGUUGCUCUACCUGCCUCAUAUGUACUCUUCAACCAGUGUCACAAGCAGUACAAGAAACUGUUGCUUGUACCAUUGAUAGUGAUUCCUGAUUGGAUUUCAUUGUGAGAUCUGCUUCCUGCAAAGAGGAUUCUGCAUCUGAACAUAAACCAUCGCAUAAGACUUCAGAACCAAGAGUUCAUAUUCACAAGUCUCUCUGCUGAACGUAUCAUGUCACCAGUCAAGCUGAAUGCCAGGGGUGACACUCCAGAUGGACUCAGUCUGGCACUCCUGACUAUGGAAAAAAAACUGAGGCCAAAUCUUAACUCUACUGAAUUUAAGACCCAUUAAGUCUCUUGAAGUGUCUCGAUGACAGCCUCCACUGCACACCUGUUGGAUUUCCAUGGCUUCCAUGUAUAGUACAACAUCCCAAAGUACCGUGCCGUCUUCCGGGCUGACUGCAUAUUGCCAAUUGCCAAACAUUAGUAUUCCAGUGUAAAGACCAAAACUUCUCUGUGAAUACCAUUAGAACUGGGUCACUAACAGAAGGUGAGUGACAGCUUAACAUGCAAAACAACUAAAGCCAUUUCCUCUGUCUCAUACAGAGCAGAAAUACUGAGAGUGAAGAUUAUGUGUAUAUUGUGAGCAGAAUGACAAAUGACAAGCCUUAGCAAUAUACUUGUUUGGUGGCAUUAGUGAUGCAGCUCUGCCGUGGAAACAGUGAAAAUAGGUGAUCAGCUGGGUUUUGUGUGGCAUCAGUUUUGCUAAAUGUUCAAACUUAAUAGGAAUUCAAAUGAUUAAGUUAAGUAUUUCAUUUUGUAGAGGAAAUUCUCUUGAUCAGCAGCAUCCUAAUGACUUCUACUAUUUAGCAUUUUCUAUUCUGUUUGGAAUAAAGAGGUUUUAACCUCACAGCUUCAAGCUGUGUACCUCUAUUCCAGCUCGAGGAAUUAUUGCUGUAGCUGUGUGCUCAGCAGUCAUAAAAAUGCUGCGGAUGGAUUUAUGUAAUUUCAGAAAACAUUAUGGAAUAAGCUGGACUAGACUCUGUGUUCUGCCUUACCAAAGUCCCUUUAAACCAGCUAGAGAAGAAUGGAAGAGAACUCUUCCUGGAUAGCAUUGUUCCAGCUACCUUCUGAACCAGAAGGGCAUGCUGAGACCUUCUUUAUAUGGAGAAAAUGGAAGGUGGAAGCCAGGGAAAGGAAGUAUCUGGAACUGCAAAGAGAAACAGAAUUAACUGAGUAUUAGCUGAGUAUCAGUAAGUGAGCUACAGAAGCUCUCUCUGCUUUUGCUCCAUGUCAGUCAGUCUGGGUAACAUAAGAAUCAGCCCCUUUAUAAGCCUUUAUUAAUUACUCUUCUAUCUUUUUUUGGAUGUGACAGAUAUUUCUGGAAACAAACACUGUGAUUGUAGGCACAUCACACCACGCUCUGUCUCAUUCAUCUGUACCCCUUUUACCUGCCAAGCCUCUCAUGAUUCGUUCACUUUUAUUUAAAGUUGGAAAAAAACCAAGUUCAGAAAACUAGCUCUUACGGAAAAGAAAAAUCAGGUCACUCAGAUUGGUCUGCAGAUUCAGGUCAUAUUCAGUGAUGAGUUUAAAUGGAAAAAACAUGGGAGAAUCAGUAAAAUGAGGAAUAUUUUUCCUAUUCCUUCAACACGAAACCUCACUGUUCUUUUGUUUCAAAAAUAUUGGAAAGAUAUCUUGAGUCCAAAAUACAAAACAGGGAUUAAACAGAGAAGGAAAUAAUCCAGAAGCAAACCAAAUGCAAUCUUUUCACAAGUAAAAUGUCCUGUUAACCCCCAAAUGGCUUUUUGAUUCGGAGUGAUCAAAAAGAUUUUUAAAUUGUUUUGCAUAAAAUACUGAACCAGAAGGCAAUUAUUUGCAAUUCUAUCUAAAGCUAACAAUUAAGACUUGGUUUUAAUAUGUUUCAAAGGCAGGUAGUGUUGUUCAAAUUCUCAUUGUGACUUUUCUUCCCGUAUUCAUGAAUUCUUUUUUGGCACAUGAAGCGAACAGGUGUAAGCCAGUGCAAGGUGGCCCACAGGCCAUAACCAACAAAUAACUAAUUGGCAUCUAUGUUGCAACAGGGCAAAGAUCCAGCCAAAUUAUGAUGAGGCACUGUGCCAUCCUAAUAGACUCACAUUAUCACGGAUGCCAAGAUUCCAUAGAUUUGCAUUAUUUACAUUUAGUUAGGGCAGGAUUCCCAGCUGGGAAAUUCCACAUGGUUGUCCAUCUCUAUCAUAUACAAUUAUGAUGGAAAAAAAUCUCUGUGACUAAUCCAGCAUCCUGAAAUAGUUUUCAGCAAGAAUUUAAAUAUUCUUAAUAAUGAGUUAAAAACGCUCCC